rnacentral:rRNA from 1 species
CAGUAGCCGCGGUAAUACGUAGGGUGCAAGCGUUAAUCGGAAUUACUGGGCGUAAAGCGUGCGCAGGCGGUUAUAUAAGACAGAUGUGAAAUCCCCGGGCUCAACCUGGGAACUGCAUUUGUGACUGUAUAGCUAGAGUACGGCAGAGGGGGAUGGAAUUCCGCGUGUAGCAGUGAAAUGCGUAGAUAUGCGGAGGAACACCGAUGGCGAAGGCAAUCCCCUGGGCCUGUACUGACGCUCAUGCACGAAAGCGUGGGGAGCAAACAGGAUUAGAUACCCCUGUAGUCCCUGUCUCUUAUAC